CCUACGGGUGGCAGCAGUGAGGAAUAUUGGUCAAUGGUCGGGAGACUGAACCAGCCAAGCCGCGUGAUGGAGGAAGGUACAGAGUAUCGUAAACCUCUUUUGUCAGGGAACAAAUACUGGGACGCGGCCGAGGAUGAGUGUACCUGAAGAAAAAGCAUCGGCUAACUCCGUGCCAGAAGCCGCGGUAAUACGGAGGAUGCGAGCGUUAUCCGGAUUUAUUGGGUGAAAGGGGUGCGCAGGCGGUCUGUUAAGUCAGCGGUCAAAGCCCGGGGUUAAACCCCGGCCCGCCGUUGAAACUGGCAGUCUCGAGUUGGAGAGAGGUAUGCGGAAUGCGCGGUGUAGCGGUGAAAUGCAUAGAUAUCGCGCAGAACUCCGAUUGCGAAGGCAGCAUGCCGGCUCCACACUGACGCUGAGGCACGAAAGCGUGGGUAUCGAACAGGAUUAGAUACCCCUGUAGUC
rnacentral:rRNA from 1 species